UUUCCCCUUAUCAAACCAUACAGACAAUUGGACGAUACGACUGGCUGUAUAACUCAAUUAGAUUUUAAAUCCAUUAUCUAAUUACCUGCACAUUUAAUUAAGUCUUCUGCAGAUCGAUGUACCACGCCUGCUUCAGUUCUAUCAUUCGAACGACUGCAUUUUCCUAAAAAUUUACCUCUUAUUGGAAAACUUAAAUGAAUGAUCCAAUCGUACUUCUUCUUAUCAAAUACUUGAUAUAUUAUGUUAUAAACUGUUAGUUCCUAUGGAAAUAUUAUAUUUCUGCAAUCGUUUAUUUCUUUUUACGUGUAACUGUGUAUAGCAGUGAUUUAUUAUAUUUUACGUAACAUAAUAUUUGAAUUUUCCGAAUUUAUCAUCGGAAUGAUUUAACUUCUUAAUGAGCGCACAGAUAACACUGACGUAACACUUGGUUAGUCAUUACUUAUCGACAUUAUUAAUAUACUUAUACUUAUCGACUUAAUACUUAUCGACAUAAACAAUUAGACAGGUAAUCGUAUUAUCCAAAUGUCUGCUUGGUUUGAUUAGAGGAAAACAAAUGAAAAAAUACCUGGCAUAUUUUCGAGAUACGCGAGAAGUUAUACGCACACGCGCCCAUAGAAUCGCACAAUCAUCCCGUCCAUUUGAAUAAGCUCACGCAUGCGCAAAAGUACGCACCCAGAUGGAAAGAGAUAAUAAUAACACGUUCAAUAUGAAGGUACUUGACGAUAUAUAUAGGGGAAAAUAUUACGCACCUGCAGAUCAUUAUACCUCGAAUGAAUCAUUAAAACGAGAAUGCGAGAUAAGCAGCAAAUUAGUUGGUCGAAAUCCCUAUAUUAUUGAACACGUACAUUAAAUAUUAUAAACAUUCUUUAAGUGCAUAUCGUGAAUAUCAUGAUAACCAAUUUGGAAGAUUGAACUAAACAAUUCUUCUCUUUUCAAUUAUAUUAAAAAAUUAUUUAAACUGACUAUGAUAAUCGCUUUAAUAAUUAGUUUAACAAAUGGUUUAAAUAAUUAUUUAAACCGGUAUAACGUUGAUAUGAUGACGCAAACGUAUACUGAAUAUUCGACGUAUAAUUUAAAAGUGUUCCCUGGCUAACAUUAAUAUCCCGAAAAACGGUGAAUUUUUUAAUCGUACAUGCAGAAUUAAUCAUUUUCAAAGAUAAACCUUUCUGAAUACCAUUUCAAUUCCAUUUUAGUCCAGAUUCCGUUUGCAACAGCGAACUGUUCUUUAACAAAUAUCACUCAACAUAUUCGAUUACAUCCUCUAAAUAAAGCCUUUUUUUAAAUUCUUAAAGUUUGGAUCCUUUCAAUAAGAUAUAUUCCUUUUCCUCCUAUAACCCUUCGAAUGUAGCUUUAUAAAACAAUGCCAUAUUAACCUCGUCAAGGAUUUUUGUGACUGCCUUUAUAAAUGUUUUGUUUUCUUGCUGGUUAAUUUCGAUCAUAUAAUGAAGAUGGUGUGGAAAUCAAUACUACGGUUCACGUAAAGACUAGGACGAUGUUUGAAAAGGAAGCGUGCUGGGUUUGAAAAAAGCCUUCUUAUCAAACCCAGCACGUCGAUUGAUAAUAUGACAAGGAAGCUCUAAAAAUGUUUUGGAAACUAUUGAUGACUUUAGAUAAUUGAAUACUGCCGAUCGAUACUAUGUAUUUCAUUAUCCAAACAUAAGAUAUAUGGAUAUAUAUUUUCUUUUCUUCCUUUUUUUAUAUUCGAGUUAAAAUAUAAAGCGUCAUAUCACUGGCUAAGAACUGUAACAAAAAAGUAAAAAUGUUAAUGCACAACGCUUCCGAUGAUAACAUCCGACAACUUCGAAAUUUAAAUGAUUGGCACUCCAUGACAGGUGAAGAAUUUGAAACGAUCAUAAUGAAAUAUAUAAUGGAUCAUAACGAAAAAGCAAAUACUUCUCAUGCUGAGAAAUUCACCAAUGAUAUUAUUUUUAAUAUGACCAAAAGAAAUAGGGAAAACAAUAUUUUUUGCAUGAGAAACAUUUUUGGUCGAUUUUGACAGAUAGCAAUCAAAAAAUGUAUAAUUACGUUCACAAGAUAUUUUUAUUAUGAGAUAAUAUCAACAAGAAAACUAAUUUUUUUUUUUUAAUCAGUAUUAAUCUUUUGUAGGGAGCGAUCGAUAAAGUUGAAGCAAAAGACCAUGUUGAAAUACGCAGAUAUACAAAGUCGAUUAUACCAUAUGAUAAUUAAGAAGGGAAAAAUAUUCGUCGAGAAAUCAAUUUCCCCUUAAUCCAUGUCCCAUUAGGCUCUUUCGGCUCGUUAGAUCGCGUAAUAGGAAAUUUUAAUCGACUUACGUAAGUCGUGUUUAAAUGAAAUACGUAGGAAAAAGGUAAUAUCACGAAAAAAAAAAUUGUCUUCCCUGAAUACAAUCUUCAUUACAACGUCAUAAAAAAAGAGAAAUGUGUAAAAAAAGACAGUGUUAACUUAAGUAAUAGAAGAAGAAUAGAAAAUAAUAUUACGAAAAAAAUUGUCAAACAAUAUUUUUUACUCAAAAUUAAUUUUUAUUGAUAUAUACUUUUAACCUCAAGAACAGGAAGAAAUUUUCAAAAUUCUUUAGUUCACUUCUAAUUUCAGACUGUAAAAAGUAGGAACGAAAGAAGAACAUAGAAAAAAAGAAUAAUUAUUCAUCGAAUCAAUAAAUAUCAAUAGAGAAAUUCAUUUCCUCAGAGCUUAUGACCUUUUCGGUUCUUUCAAUCGUAUGAUAGGAAAUAUUGAUUAACCUACAUAAAACCCUGUGCAGAGGGUUCCCUCAUGGUCGUUAGGUAAACUACCCAAAGCGAUUUGUGGGGUAUGAAUUGCCUGUAAGAAUAUGGCGAUAAAGCUGUGCGUCAUUCCUUCGGAAUUUGUCGAACUAGAAAUACGUGAGCGAGUGUCGUACAAGAAAUAUUUGUUACGUGUGUACUUCAUACGUUCCAAAGGGUAGUUUUACAAGGAGUUCAAGCGGUGGAAACAAUUUCUUCGUUUUCACUAGUCUUGUGUUUCUGUUAUCAAUGUAAGAGAUAUACUAAAGGAAACGAAGGCGGAAGCAGGAAAAGUUCCAAUAGCUUGCAAGUAUUACAAAGGCCCGAGUUGAGGGAUAUUUGAAUUAUAAUUCCAAACAAGAUAUACGAAAUUUCACUACCUCGUGUUAAUGAAGUAUUCUAUAUCCGAAGUGAAACAUAUUUACUUUGGCCUGUUCUUCCUUAUAUCCGGCGAUAACUCCUACAUGGAUAGUACAAAUGCAAUCAAUCAGAUUAUGAUAUGAAAACGUUUUUCUGUUUCUUCUUAUAUUUCAGUGGAAAAUCAGUCAAUGGUUUGUUUAUCGAAUUUUAGAGAUAAGAUUUUAUGAUAGCGACGAGAAUAUUUCUAUUAAUGAGUUGGACAUUAAGUCUCUUAACUCUAGCUGGCAUAUAUGUAUUAUAUUAAUGUGUAUAAUUCAAGAACCCAUAUAUUUUUCACCUUUGUAAAGAAGAAUAUUUGAUAUGGGAAGCAAGAUGUUCGAUGAAAGAGAGGAGAUCGUAAAAGGGGCGGAGGUAGCUGACGCUGCUCACGAAUUUAUUAAAAAACUUGUAAACGAUAUGGAACUCAAGUUGAUGAGAGAGGCACCAUAUUAUCCGACGUAUAGAAGUAAACAUGUUGCUACUGGUAGAGCAUUACUCUAGCAACCAUCGACAUCAAUAUUGAAUUUUAAUAAACGAGAGUGCAUUGGAUCGUGUAAUUAGAAGAGCGGUUCAAGAUGCAGAUAGAAUUUUAACCAAGGAAGGAACAUCGUUAGCGAUAGUUCAUGUAUGCAUUAUGUGAUUGGGAAUACCUAGGAAGAGGAAAAAGAAGAAAAAACAUUUGUGCUUUACGACGAAGUUUGGAAAGACCAUUAGGGCGUUAGUUUAAAAAGCGUCGGAAGGUAGUACGAGGAAAUGGGAGGGAUUUACUUCUUCCAAAGGAUCCAAACGAAACAUCAGUGAAAUACGGAUUUCCCAAACAGUAGCAGUGCAAACACUCGAUCCGCCCAAAUCACUCACUAACUGUGUGGUUCUCUCGAAGAGGAAAUACGUGAAACAGACGAUAGUGAGAUGGGGAAAUAAAGAAAUAUGAGAAGAGAUUUUCUCCGAAUACAUUUUUUCUAUUAUCGUGCAAUAAUGGAAAUGAAUUCUAGGAUAACUUAAGCAACAUAUAUAUGUUUACAAGAUAAGAAGGCGAUAUUUGAAGGAAAUGUUUUUAAGGAAAAUGGAAGUAGAUGUAACUUCCUACGAAAAAAUUGUUUUACAACACAAUAUUUUACAAUACGAAGUACAUAGUUCGAAAAUUGUAAUAUCAGUAAUACCAAAUAAUAUUAGAACACUAUUUUUGAGUACAACUUGAACUUACGAAAGAUGAUACAUUACAUAUUUCGUAUAUGAUAUUACGAUUACUUUCUAAAAAUUAAUGUUGAUAAUUACAAUAAUUAUUAUUUUUGAUAUUAUUAUUAAAAUAAUUUGAAAUUAUUAAUACAGAAAUCGUUAAUAAUAAUUAAUUAUAUUAUAAAUAAUUACAGUUUUAUGUGCAUAUUGCAAUUAAAAAAGAGAAAAAUAACUGUCAAUUUCGUAAGAAGAUUCCAAGUUUUAUGACAUAAUUUUUCAAGUGCAUAAAGGAAAUAAAAAUAUAACAACAUAGUUACAGGAGAGGGGAAAUUUUUCAUCCCCAAACUAGAAAAUUAAAAUCUAGGAAUCUUGGUCUUCUAACGAGAUGACGUGGGAUUAAUUUAACCAGGGGAAGUCAUUCCUUCCGUGAUUUUCGACCCAGUAAUACGCAAGUAUAUGUUAUACGCGAAAUAAUCCCUAGCUCUCAUACGUCCGAAAGACGAGCUUUAUAAGUAAUAAAAACCAUUGAAACACCAUUAUCACUAGUCAUUCUAUUAUUGUAUCAAUAUACUUUAAAUUCAGCAGUAGCCAUUUGUAUAAGAUUUAUUAGAAAAUUUCAUUGCUAUAUUAUAGAAGUUACCGGAUAAGUACUCCACUUUGGGUUUCCUACCAUUUGGAAUAUUGGUGAUAAGUUCACUUAUAAAUAAAAAUACUUUCUUCGGCUGCAUAUAAUCUACGAAAAUAUUAAUAAAUUAUUAUAAGAUAUAUAGAUAUGAUAUAGAUUUCAUAUUCCACAUUACAUUUUAGAAUAAAAAAUAUAUCUUAUCUCUAAAAUAUCUUACCAUUCAAUAAAUACAGCAUUGAUUGAUUUUACAUUUAAACAUAAAUGUAAAAAGGAAAAUGUUUUCGUAAAUUAAUCUCGUUGAUGGUCUGGCUUGAUUUGAAUUAUCCAUAUAGAGCGUAUCGUCGGAUGUACGGAAGAACAGAAAGUGUCAAUGCAAAUGUGUUUCACUUUGGAUGUGCAAUGGUGGAGCGUAGUUGAACUUUUCGUAUCUACUUUGGAAUUGCAAUUCAAAUAUAAGUGAAUUCGGCUCCUUUGCAAUACAUUGAGACUAUUGGAACUGCUUUCGUCUUCGGUUGGUUUAAUAUAUCUCUGAAACAAAAUAAGAUUCGUAGAUUAGUUAAGACUUACGGAAGCCAUUCAAUUGUUCAUCUAAUUGUAUUGUUUAGGAAAAUAAAUGUUGUUACAGCCAUUUAAGUGAUAUAAAGUAACUUUUCCGAAAGGCAACAAACAAUAAUUUAGAUAUUAUUAAUCACGAAAAUCAAUUUCAUUUCCAUAAUACAAAAUUGAAAUUUUAUAAUAAAUCACGAAGUAAUCAUUACUAACAAAUUUACCUUAUAUUGAUAGCUUAAACAAAUGACUAGUAAGAAUGAAGAAAUUGCUUCAACCGCCUGAAUUACUUAUAUAACUGAUCCCUGGGACGUAUGAAGUAUGCACGAACGAAUAUUUGUUGUACCACACUCGCUGGCGUAUUACUAGUUCGACAAGCACCGAAGGAAUGAGAUGAACAUGAAUGAACAGAUUCAUCGCCGUCCGCCGAACGGCGGUAUUAUACCCCGCCCAGUCCCUUGAUUUGCUGAUCGAUCGAACACUAUGGCGCCCUCUGCACAGGAUUAUUACACUUGACGUAGAUUAAUAAAUAUAUCCAAAGAACCAAGAUGGUCAUACGCUACCAGGAAAUGAAUUUCUUUCGUAUCUUUUUUCCCCUCCUUCUCUUUACAAUUUCAAAUUAGAAAUUAAUUACAGAAUUCUGAAAAUUGACUAAUAUGUUUCUGCCUGUAUUUGUCGUUAAAAAGAUUUAUCUUUAAGUGUUAAUUUCGAGCAAACAAUAUUGAUGGACAAUUUUUUUUGUAAUUUUACUUUCUGUUCUUUUUCUACUAUUUAAGAUAACCAUCACUUUCUUACACAUCUGUCUUUUUUUAUAACGCAAUAGGAAAGAAUAUGGAUUACGAGAAAAUCAUUUGUCACUUUUCUUUCCUAAUAUCAACUUCAUCUCUUUUACGUAUUUUAUUUGGACACCAUUUACGUAAGACAAUCAAAAUUUCCUAUUACGCGAUUGAACGACUCGGAAAGGCAUAAUUGGAUUUGGAAAUGAAUUUCUUGAUGAAUAUUAAUGUAACGAUAGAUAGAUUUAUUGCAGGGUCAUCCGGCGUUGCAUGCGGAACAUGGAUCAAAAAAACUUGAAAUGCACGUGAGUGAGGUAUAUUUUGCAAAAUGAUUCAACACGUAAGGACGAUCAAUAGCUUCGCCGUUGUUCGGGAUAUUAGUUUUAGCCAGGGAAUACUUUUAAAUUAUGCGUCGAAUAUUCAAUGUACGUUCGCGUGACCAUGUCAAAGUUAUACCAGUUUUAAUAAUUUUUUAGUAUAAUUCAAGAGAGAAGAAACGUUAAAAUCAUGGUUCCAAAUUGGUUAUCACAAUAUUCACGACACGGACUUAAAUAAUAUUCAUAAUAUUUAAUAUACAUCUUUAGUAAUAUAGGGAUUUGGACCAAUUAAUUUGCUGCAUAGCACGAAUUCUCAUGUUAAUGAAUGUUUCGAGGUAUAAUGAUUUGCAGGUGCAUGAUACGUUCUCCCAUACUUAUCGUCAAAUACCUUCAUACUGAAUCUAUUAUUAUUAUCUCUCUCCAAAGACCUAUAUUGAAAUGUGAUUUAUACGAAUUAUUUAUUUAUUAUCCGUUUUCAGGAGAAUUAAUAAUGUGAAUUGAAAUUAUAGAAACAUUCUCUUAUAUAGUAUCAUAUAAGAAUAUAUGUACUUAAUUUUAAUUUUUCUUGAAUUACUUUAAAUUUAUUUUUUAAUCUUCUCCUUAUUAAUAAAUUUAAACAAAAAAUCGUUAAAAAAAGAGGGACGAAACAUUUAUCUGCAGCCGAGUUUACACAUAUCCAUACAAGGCAAAUAUAUGAAAAUAUGAAAUCGAUAUCGGAUGGUACACUUUUCAGAUGUAUAUUCCUCCGCUUUUUUUCUUAAUAUCUUCUUUUUUUUAUAUAAAUUUUUGGUUUGAUUACAUUUUAUCUUUUAAUUUGCUUUAUUAUUAUAUUUUAAAUCAUAUGCCUGAUAAUUCACAAAUAGAUAUAGAUACUUCAUCAAUAUGUGGACGAAUAUAUAAAUAAAUAAGAAAAUAAAUGUUAUUAGAUUUUAGUACAUAGUGAUAUAUAUAUAUAUAUAUAUAUAUAUAUAUAUAUAUAUAUAUAUAUAUAUAUAUAUGUAUAUAGAGAUGGUAUAUGUAAAAAUAAAGAAGAUUCCUUUUAUUAACGUAACAUAUACAAGAAAAAAUAUAUACGUUUAUCGCUAAAGUAAUUUUAAACAAAAUGUAAUGAACUUACGAAGGAGUAGUGAAAUUAGUUUUAUUUCAGUCCGUUAAUAAUUAUGUCCUAUAAGACUGGAUGAAUAGAAACAAUUAGCCCUAACUAAUGCAUUGAGAUUGAUAGAUCGGAAUAAAAAAAAUUCAAAUAUGAUUUAUGUUAUCGACAGCAUGUUGUAAAAAAUGAUAUAGAUGAUAUAUCCCAAUAUCGUAGGUUUUAAACUUAUAUUUUAUUCUGGAUCUCCUCCUUCUUGAUCUCUCAGAAACUUGCUUAGACGAAUUGAUUUAUAAUAAACAGCUUCUACUGCCAUUGAAAAAUGUCAUAACUUCAAGUAUCGAAUCACCAUGGUUUUUCUUCUCCACCAUUUAUUUUGGUUCCAACUAUUCUUCAUAAAUUGAUAAGAUAUGUCAUCUCCCAUAACUUUAUCACUAUGUUACCAAUAAUUUUGGAUCGAUCUUACCGUAAAGGGAAUGUUUCUGUUUGCUUCUAUCUUUCUUUAUUCCUUUUGAAUGUUUUUUUUCCAUUUAAUUCCUCUAUUCUUCAUUCUCCAUACACUUAUCUUUUCGAACAUUUCACAUUGUAAAAAUCGAAUUGUGUUAAUCUUAUUUCCGAGGAGGAAAUUUUCUUUAGCAUUCAAUUAAACAUAUUUAUUUAUUUUCUUCGACGACCUUAUCAAGAACCAUUCAUGACCUUAAUAAGAAAGUAGAACUCAAAAUACUGUAUUUAAAAGGAAUGGCAAUCUCAUGCAAAAGCUGCUUUUCUACGAUAUUUAUAAAUUAUAUUUUGCGCAAUACGGAUCGGUUCAUGGAAUAACGAUGAAUAGAAAGAAGUAUUACAGAUCUUUACUAUUCUCGGGGAAGUAUAAUAUAAAUGAUUAUUAUAAGUAGGCUUAUUGAGAUAUUUAACCAUUCGAGUAAAAUAUUAGAAAAAUACUAAGUAAAUAAGAAAUAUUAUAUUACUAGAAAUAUAAUGAUUUCGUUGCUAUACUCGGUUAUAGGUAAGGAGAAAGGAACGAAUCCAGAAAGAUAAUAUUUUCCGUGGAACUAUUUAGUUUGGAACAUAAUAUACGAAGUAUGUGAUAUAACGAAGCAUAAUUGGAUCAUUCCUUGAAAUUUUCCAGUGGGAAAUACAUUUUUCGGAAAAAGUAUUCGUUCGUAUGAAAGAACUAAAUUAGUCGUUAUUCAUCGAUCUGCAAACUAAUUAAUACUGCUAAAGGGGUAAUUGAAUUACACUGAUAAUACAAUGCUAUUAUCGAAUUGUUUGCUUCCUUUGAUGAGAGGAAAACAAAUGAAAAAAUACAUUCCUUCUUAUCCAAAUAAUGGAGGAGAUAUACGAACGCACGCUCCCAGUUCGCGCACGUAUUCCCGCCCACAUGGACUAGUGCGCAUGAGUGAACACAAGAGCACUGGUGCAUGAAGAGGGGUAAUAACAAAUCGUUUAAGCCGAAGGUACUUAACGGUACGUAUAGAAGAACGCAAUGUGUACAUGCAUUUUCAUUAAAUUCCAAUCGAAAGGUAUUUCCGCUACGUAAUAAAUUAACUCGCCCAAAUACUUAUAUUUCUGAUAGACGUCCAAUACACAUUAUGUUUAAUAAAUGACGUGAAUAUUCUGACAAACAAUAUGGAAUAUUGAACCAAACAUUUUUUCUCUGUUAAUUAUGUUGAAUAAUAAUAUAAACUGACGGUAUAACGAUGACACGGUGAGAUAACCGUACACUGCAUAUUUAACGCAUAAUUUCUAUCUACAUAUAUAUGAUCUAUAUUCGAGACUCUACAAUACAGAUCUUAUUACAUAAUUUCGUGUUUCAUACUAGGAUAUACCGUUUUAUAAGAUACGAUAGAAAGUUGUAUAGCUUUUGAUUAUUAUUUCACACUAUAUUUCAAACUGUGCAAUUCUUCUUCGAAAUGUUAUUGUAUAAUAUUGAACAGAAAAGAAAAGAAAAUUAGAGUUACCGGAUUUAUGGUAUGUUUGUUCAUACAUUUUUACGAUUUAAUCGUAUGAUCGUAUAUAGAGCCGACCGUAGUGCAGCUCUUGCCUCUUCCAUGAUGUUACACCGUGUUUGCUCUCCCUAUUGACUCUAAAACUACCUAUUGAUGAGUCUAACAGGUGGGUUGAUUUUCUCGGCUGAUACUAGUUGAAUUGCUGGCUUUUCGGUCAGUUAAUCAAUUAGAAUAGAGAUACAUGAUGCAAUGAGAACGGGAGUACAAAGAGACAAAUGGAGCAUCUUCGAGAUAUACAUAUAAUCAAUCGAAACGGUAUCGUAUGUUUUCGUAAAUAAUCGUAUUAGUUUUCUUUUUGUAAUUAUCAUACCUUCCGCUUGCUUGAAGCGAAAGUCUGUUUCAGAGAGUUUGAAAGAGAUAUUGACGUAUUUUUCUGAUAGAAAUAAAAUUCUGAAUAUAAACUCAAAUAUUGUGAUAAAUAGUUAGGAAUCUUAAAAAGUAUAUUAAAAGAUUAGUCGAUCGAUUUUAAUAUCUUCGGAAGAUUCUGAAGUAUGUUUAAUAAAAAUAAAAUAUCAGAGAUCGAAAUUUUUUAGGGAUCACUUUUUUUCAGUACCACCUCGUAAAUCGUUUAAUUCCAAUAACUAUGAAAUAUGCGGACAGAGCAAUUUAAAGGUGCUCGAAUAUUCACUUUGAUAUAUUGACAUUAUCAUUAUCGACAUUAUUUUCCAAGAAAUUCGACCUAAGUUGAAAUGUGACUCAUCUUUAUCCUCACUUUCCGCUUCUUCAUCUCCUAAAUUUCCAUUUUCUUUUCCUUUUUCUUCAACAUUGAUUAGCAGAACUUACUUUUUGGAAUCCUUGUGAAUCGUCCUGAUAUUUUCUUUAUCGUUCCCAAUCACCCGAACGGCAUUGAAAUAAACAUUAUUACGGUACAUAUAAUUUUCUAGUCAAUUGCUAUCCAAAUUAACAUUAGUUCGAUAUUCAAAGACACGGUCAACGUUAUUAGAGAUCCUUAUUUUCCCUUCUCGACAGCGUUGCAUACUUCUGAAGAUGGAACAAGUUGGAAUGAAAGAGGAUUCCGGAAUGAAAUCUUCUUUUCUACGCAGGAAUAUUUCCCCAAUAGAGAAAACAUUCACCUUUGAUCCACUAUCUGCGUGUACCGUCGGACAUCUCAUGGACAAACUUUCUGAACGCAAUCGAUUAUAUCCUCUUACCGAAGCAGCUUAACCUCGGAUCCUUUGCAGCGAGAUAUUUCCUAGCCUCCUACCACCGUUCGAACGUAGCUUUAUGAAACAAUACAACAUGGGAAUCGGGACGGUUCGUCGUCAUGACCAUUAAAAAUGUUUUCUUCCUAUAUCUCUUUCUGGUUAUUAUCGAUUACCUAACGAGCACGGUAUAAAAGAAGGUAUUAGGAAGGUAUACGAGACUAACCUAAGGCAAAAGCAAUUCCAAUUUCUGGGAAGUAUUGCAGAGGAUCCGUAUUGAACGAUAUCUGGAUUCUAAUUACGUCCAAAGAAGAUAUAUAGAUUUCAACUAAGCCCAAUGUGAUCAUUAAACAUUUGACAUCCAAAAUGAUACACUCUUCAAUUGGUACUUCCUGUUCUUCCUCACAUCCGACGAUUCGUUUUACUUGGCUAGUAGAAAUGUCCGAAAGUCAACGAGCGUAGGAAAUGGAAACGUUUACCUCUUCAGACUUAUAUUUAAAUGAGAUUUUAUCUUGGCAACGAGAAUAUUUCUGUUGAUUAGCAUUAUUGAAGCAUAUUGAAGCAGAAGCAUGUUUCAAGAGACAAUUGAAAAUUCUAACAAAGGAAGGAAUAUCAUUAGCUAUUGUCCAUGUAUGCAUUAUGUGAUUGUGAAUACCUAGGAAGAGGAAAAAGAAGAAAAGACAUACGUGCUUGACGACGAAGUUUCUAAAGCCCAAUAUGGCAAUGUUUUAUGAAGCUUGGAACAAGGGUACGAGGAAAUGGGAAGGACUUACCUUUUUCAAAGCAUCUAACUAUGAGCGGCUUUAGCUGGAGGGUAUAAGCGAUUGUGUUCAAAAAGCUUUGUCGAAGAGCCGUCCGACGUUCCAUGCGAGAUCAGCUCGGUCAUCCGACGAGGCAGUCUGGUGGAGGAACUCCUCUGCGGAAGUCAUCCUUUCAAUAAUUUUUGAUCGAGUAAUACGCAAAGAUAUACCAGGUUAAACGAAAGCGAAAGCAGUUUCAAUAGCUUAGAAAUAUUGCAAAGCUGCACAAUUGACUGCAUGAUUAUUAAAUAUUCGACAUUCGAAAUGAAACACAUUUACUUUGGCAGUCCUUGCUCUUCCGUAUAUCCGACGAUAGGUCGUUUAUGGAUAGCAUGAAUGUCGGACCAUCAAACAGAUUAAGAAAUGAAACCGUUUUCCUUUUUAAUCUUAUAUUUAAAUGGUCGAUCAAUCAAUGUUGUAUUUAUCGAAUGAUUUUAUGAUGACGACGCGAGUAUUUCUCUUGAUGAGAGGGACAUUAGGUCUCUUAACUAUAGCUAUCCCGAAUAUUGUAGUAGUGUAUAUAAAUCAGGAACCUACAUAUUUAUUAACUAAUGUAAUGAAAAAUAUUAUAUAUAUGGGAAGCAAGAUGCUCCAUGAAAGAGAGGAGAUCAUAAAAGCAGAGGAGGAAGCUGAUGCUGCUCACGAAUUUAUUACAAAUCUUCCAAAUGAUCUGGUAGGCAAGUUAGUGAGGGAAUCACCUAAUUAUCUGGUUUAUGGAAACAACAUGUUUCUAUUGCUAUAGCAUUACUAUAGCAACCAUCGACAUCAAUAUUGAAUUUUAAUACACGAGUGCAUUGAAUCGUGAAAGCAGAAGAGUGGUCCAAGAAGUUGGAAAUUCGAACUGAAGAAGGAACAUCAUUAGCUACUGCUCUUGCGUGCAUUAUGUGAUUGAGAAUACCUAGGAAACGGAAAAAGGAAAAAGAACAUUUGUGUCUUUCCGACGAAAUUUGGAAAAACCAAUAUGGCAUUGUUUUAUAAAGUUUGGAACGGUGGUACGAGGAAAUGGUUGGGAUUUACCUUCUUCAAAGGAUCCAAACGUGAGCGGCUUUAGCUGUAGGCUAUAAGCGACUGUACUGAGAUCGAUUUGUCGACCUUCCACGCAGGGCCAGGAUCAAAUAGGAAUUGAAAUGAAACUGAGGGAAGUAUAUCAUACAUAAUAAUUUAACAUACAGGGACGAUCAAAGGAUUCACUGUUAACAGGGAAAUACUUUUAAAUUAUACGUGAAAUGGAAAAUCCACGUUCACGUGAUUUUUAUUCCAUCGAUUCAAAUUAAGUAAGCAUUCGAUAUUAUUAAGAAAGGAGAAAUGCUGAAUUCUGUAUUUGAUAUUAUUUCUCAUAACACUCACGACAUGUACUUAAAGAAUAUUCGUAAUAUUUAAUUAGCGUUUUUCUUAAAUAUUGAAAUUUGGACGAAGAAUUCGGUAGCACAAAGUAUCUGUUUUUAAUACGUUCUCCCAUAAUUAUCGAGAAAUACCUUCGUUUCAAACCUUUCGGUAUUAUCUCCCUCAAGUGCACGGCUAUCUGCGGCGGUUCGAGUAGCCGGGGAUGAGUGAGCGGUCCUGCGUGCGUUUAUGCGAACAACCCCUAUUUUACCUUCAUAUAAUUGGAGAUUAGCUCUAUAAUUACAUUACCUAUUUAGAUUCAUCGUUUGAUAGCACGAUUACUUAUUUUGCAGAGUAAUGGAUUAUUUUCUUAGGAACAAUUUGAUUUGGAACAUAAUAUACGAAACAUUAGAUAAUUAGGAUUAUUUUUUUGCAUUCUUUAAUAGGGAGUAAAUUUCUAGGAAAGUGUUUCGGUUCAUAUAGAAAAAUUAAAUCAGUCGUGGUACAUUGACGUCCAAAUUAUCCAGGUAACUGCAUGAUAUAGCUAAAUGGAUAAUUGAAUUAUACAGCUAAUCUUAUUAUCGAAUUGUCUGCUUCGUUUGAUGAGAGGGAAACUCAUGAAAAAAUACCUUUCUUGUUUUUAAAAUAAGAGAAGUGAUGUACGCAGAAACGCCCACUUAUUCCCGUCCAUUCGAGCUGCACUUGAAAAGCGCGCACGGAGAGGAACAACAAUGCAUCGUUUAAUAUCAUGGUGCUUGACGAUAGGUACGCGGGAAGGUUUUGCGUACGCACAGAUCGUUAAAUUCCGAUCAAUACUCGUUAACAGGGAAAUUUGUAGACGUGAAGGAUCAUAUAUUUUUGCAAAAAAGAGCAAAAUUUUGUCCUUUAUAAUUUUUCACGAUUCUUUUCCAACAUUAUCAUCCCUCGCGUUAUGUAUGAGAUCUCUCCGUUUUCUUGUUGGAUGUCAUCACUAUCACUUCUAUCGUUUUCUUCCGAAUUAAUAUUCAUUUUUUUCUCACCGUGUAAAUGGAAUUCCUCUUCGGUAUUACUUAUAGCACGAAACUCACUCGUGUUUGGAAAUUUUGCGAUUCUCUUAAUGAAAAAGAAAUAAGUAAGUAAAUGGAUUGGUAGUCUCAAAUUGUAUAUUACGACAUCACGGAAUGAUACAUAACAAUAAUAUAAUACUUUCCUGGUUUCCUGACUAAUUAGUCGAGGGAUCUAUUUAUACUACUCGAAGUUUCAAUACGAAGUGAGCUCAGCUUUGAAAAUCUCUUUCCCUCCUGUUUUAUGAAUACUCGUUUACUUCAUCAAAUAUCACUAUAUCGUACGAGGCAUACUCAUGUACUAUUACAAACAAUCGCUAAAAAAUUCAUCGCUCUCUUUAAGCAGGCUAGAUAAGCAUCCAGACCGUUGUGAACGUACUUCUUCUUCAUAAAAUAUAAAAGUAUAAAUUAUAAAUGUUUUAGGAAGAUAGCCUUUCCAUGAAAUAAUCUUUCCUUCUGAAUAGAAUUUUCUGAUUCUACUUUCUUGGUAAUGUCAAUAUUCUCUUUACGAAAAAUAAAUAAAUUUGAAUAACCAAAUACCACAAAAAGGUCACUGCCCCAAAACGGGAUAAACAAAAUUAGAUAUUUACAAAGUAAAAUGAUCGAAAGGAUAUGAAUAUGCAGAAUGAUUCAUAGGAGGAUACAAAGGCAGAGAAAUAAUCAAAAAGAAACGCAUGAAUGAAAAUUAAAAAAAGAAUUAUCCUCUACGAUAGUUUCGAAUUAAUAAUAAAAAGAGUAGAAAAAAUGAGUAGGAAAAAUAGUAGAAAUAAAUUUAUUAAAUAUUUCAAUCUAUCGCGUUAAAUCUAUCUAUAUAUUAAUCUAUCGUAUCUAUUGGAAUGCAUUACAAGAUGUUGAUCCUCAAUCUUGUAGGCUUCAAUGCAAAUUCUCGGAAGACUCAAAUGAAAGAAAAUCCAAAAUAAUAUAUAAGCCACCAAUCAGUCGCGAUAAUCGAUUGUGUAUCAUACAUAUCAAUUUAAACAAGAUGCUCUCAUAUUUGAAUAUUUUGUUUCGACCUAUCAACCUGAAUGUUUGGUCGAGGGUUAUUUUUUUAUACAGUCAGUUGCAAAAGACGUAAUUAUUAAUAGAGGGACAUAGAGCUAUCUUCGGUAGUCAUUUUUAAGUUGAUUGCAUAUUGUUUUUCAUUUGAGUCUUCCGAGAAUUUGCAUAGAUGCCUACAAGAUUGAGGAUCAACAUCUUUUAAUGCAUUUCAAUGAUUACGAUAGAUUGAUAUAUAGAUUAGAUAUUUAUGACAAGCUUUCUUCUUUUACACACUUCAUUGCUUUUUGUUUCUAUUAGUAGAAAAUUAUAUAAAAUAAAAUAUAAUAUAAUUAUAAUUAUAUAAAAAAGUUUCCUUUAUAAUACACGGACGUCUAUAUCAUCAGGAUCAGAAGUGUUACAGUUCUUUGGUUUUAUGCAACUUAAUAUGGGAAACCAAUUUCUAUGGCCAUUGUCUCCAAAGCAAUAAGAAUAUGAUACGAUCAAAUUAGAAAUUUAAAGCAGAAUUUUCACAAAUAUUUCUAUUAUAAUUAUUACUCGCCGCUAAUCAAGAAAAUGAAGAAUUACUUACAGCAGAUUGCCAGGAAUAGAAUAUACUCGUCGUAGCCAUUAAUAUUCCUCUUUAAUGGUUCCUUGAAUUAUGUGCUCGACUCUCCUGGACGUGUAUAUUUCUAUCCUCUUGAUAUUUUAUUCUGUUAAACACACUUCAGAGUUUUCUGAAAAUAUGAAAAAUGUUCAAUUAAUCUUUUACUAUAUUUUCUCAGCAUCCUAAUUAUUUAUUUAAAAAUUAGGAUCCAUAUUCAGAAUUUUAUUUUUAUCAGAAAAAAUGUCAGAAUCUCCUUAAAACAUUCUCAAAUGAACUUUCGUUUCAAUCAAAUGGAUGAAAAACAAAAACUAAUAGGUUUGAUCGCAAAAGCAAACGAAACCGGAUAUGUGUCUCGAAGACAACUCGUCUCUACGUUCAUCUCUUUGUAUUCUUAUCAUGGACUCAUGCAUCUCUAUUCUAAUUGAUUAGCUGCCCGGCAAACAAGCAAUUACUAGUUUCAGACAAGUAUUAAAGAGGAAUAUUAAUGGCUAGGACGAGUAUAUUCUAUUCCUGGCAAACCACUUAGUUUGUUGGACUCGUCAACAGGUAGUACCACUGAGACAGGAAAUACGGAGUAGUAACGCGAGAUACCAAGCACAUGUGCAACAGUUGGCUCCAUAUACGAUUAUCCGAUUGGUUCGUAUAAAUGUCUAAAAUGAAAUAUCCUAAUUCCGAUAACCCUUAUUACGCUUCCUCCUCGUUUUAAUUUUAUAAAAUAAUUCAAAAUUAUGCUACAAGUAAAAUAUCAAUCACUGGUAAAAUAUAGUAUAUAAUAAUAAUAAAAAUAAAUUAACCACAGCAUUAAAAAAUAAUAAGAAACUACGCAAUUUUCUAUAAUCUUCUAUAAAACAAUAUAUCGUAGUAUUAGAUAUGAACUUGUAUUGAAAUCAUUUUCAUAAGAUUUUGUUCUUUAUAUUGCAUGCUAUAGGCAAUAGGAUAAUUUUAUAUAUCUAUCUAUGAGUUUAUGUUAAUGGCGUUAUGUUAUGCCCUAAAAGUUCUAAUUAUAAAUGGAGGCAGAUUUAUAUUCGCUAAUACUUAGGAAGUUCAUUACAUUCUGUUUAAAAUUAUUAUAAAUAUUUUCUCUUUUAUCUACUACGUUUCUGAAUGGAAUUUUCUUUAUUCUUUUCAGUCGAAAGGCGCAUUCGAUACAUCUAUUAUUAUAUAUAUGUAUCGAUUUAUAUUUAUAUAUAUGUUCACUUAUCCAUCUGUUUUUUCUAUAAUGCCUUACUUACGAUGUAUAUAUUAGAGGCAAACUACGAGCGCAUAUAUUUAUAUUUUUAUCUAUUAUUUCGUGAAUUAUCUGUGCCGUCUUAAUAAUUAAGAAGGAUGUAAAUAGAUGGAAGUUGAAAAAGAAAAUUGAAAGAUAAGAAAGUGAAAAUAGAUAUUUAAAUUCAAGAAGAAAAGAAGCGAACGAGUGUGCAUUAGGAAAGUGAAUCAGUUGAUAUCGAAUUCAUAUUUUCAUAUAGUUGUUUAGGAUGGAUUAUUUGUAAUUAAAUUUUUGAUAAAUAUUUACUUCUUCGGAAUAUGAAGACAAAAUUGACCGAAAAAAAAAGAAUAAAAUUAAAAGCUAAUCGACAAAACUUGAAGCAAUUUAUUUUUAAUCGAGGCAACAUCGUGUUCAGACAAAACUCUAAGAAAGAAAAGAUAAUUAGCAUGAACAUUGGCUGCAUAACUUUCGAAGUAUUAGCGAAUAUAAUUCUGCCUCCAUUUAUAAUUAGAACUUUUAGGGCAUAACAUAACGCCACUUAUAUAAACUCAUAGAUAGGUAUAUAAAAUUAUCCUAUUGUUUAUAGCAUGCAAUAUAAAGAGCAAAAUCUUAUGAAAAUGAAUCUUCGCGUUGGUUAUUCAAAAACUUAAAUAAGAUGUAACUUAUCAAGAACAUAAAGAAAAAUAUCAUCGAAUCCCAUUACCGAAUCCAAUUAUGUAGCCAAUGUUCAUGCUAAUUAUCUUUUCUUUCUUAGAGUUUUGUCUGGACACGAUGUUGCCUCGAUUAAAAAUAAAUUGCUUCAAGUUUUGUCGAUUAGCUUUUAAUUUUAUUCUUUUUUUUCGGUCAAUUUUGUCUUCAUAUUCCGAAGAAGUAAAUAUUUAUCAAAAAUUUAAUUACAAAUGAUGCAUCCUAAACAACUAUAUGAAAAUAUGAAUUCGAUAUCAACUGAUUCACUUUCCUAAUGCACACUCGUUCGCUUCUUUUCUUCUUGAAUUUAAAUAUCUAUUUUCACUUUCUUAUCUUUCAAUUUUCUUUUUCAACUUCCAUCUAUUUACAUCCUUCUUAAUUAUUAAGACGGCACAGAUAAUUCACGAAAUAAUAGAUAAAAAUAUAAAUAUAUGCGCUCGUAGUUUGCCUCUAAUAUAUACAUCGUAAGUAAGGCAUUAUAGAAAAAACAGAUGCAUAAGUGAACAUAUAUAUAAAUAUAAAUCGAUACAUAUAUAUAAUAAUAGAUGUAUCGAAUGCGCCUUUCGACUGAAAAGAAUAAAGAAAAUUCCAUUCAGAAACGUAGUAGAUAAAAGAGAAAAUAUAUAAAUUAAUUUUAAACAGAAUGUAAUGAACUUACUAAGUAUUAGCGAAUACAAUUCUGCUUCCAUUUGUAAUUAGAACUUUUAGAACUAUUUGUAAGAAAACAGGUAGUACUUAAUGAGGCAUUACGAUUCAUAGAUUGAAACACACUUUUAUGACAACCCUAUAAUUAGAAAAAUAUGGAAUCAUGUAUCUCUAUUCUAAUUGGUUAACUGACCGGCAAAGCAAUACAACUGGUUUCAGACAAGCAACUCAACUGAUAUGUUUGACUCGUCAAUCGAUAGUAUCACCGAAAUACCAAAUACGGAAUAAUAUCACGAAAUAUCCAACACGUGUGCAACAGUUGGAUCCAUAAACGAUUAUUCGAUUGGUUCGUAUAAAAGUCUAAAAAGAAAUACCCGACAACCCUAAUUACGCUUCCUUCUCAGUUUAAUUUUAUACAAUAAUUCAAAAUUAUGCAACAAGUAAAAUAUCAAUCACUGGUAAAAUAUAGUAAGUAAUAAUAACAAAGAUCAGUUAACCAUAGCAUGAAAAAAUAGUAAGAAACUAUGCAAUUUUCUAUAAUCUACCAUAAAACAUAUUAUCGUAGUAUUGGAUAUGAACUUGUAUAAAAUAGGGCAUAACAUAACGUCAGUAAUAUAAACUCCUAGAUAGAUAUAUAAAAUUAUCCUAUUGUGUAUAGCAUGCAAUUUGGAACAGAAUCUUAUGAUAAUGGAUCCUCGCAUUAAAUAUUAUAAAAUUCAAGUAUGAUUCUACUUAUCAAGAACUUGAAAAAUGUAUCGGGUGAUUCCCAAAAUCGAUUUCAAAUAUGCGGCCAAUUUUCAGAUAUUACGGUUUGUAUGCUAAUCAUCUUUUCUUUCUUGGAGUUUCGUCGCUCUGGACUCGUUACCGUGUCCAUUAAAUGUUAAUUGCUCUAACUUUUGUCGAAUAGCUUUUAGUUUCUUGUUUUUCUGUUAAAUUUUGUCUCCAUAUUUAGAAGAAGCACGUAUUUAUCAAAAAUGGAGGAUCCAUCUAUGCCAAUAUACACAAAUAUAGGAAAAUAUGAAAUUGAGAAUGAGUCCACUUACCUAAUACAUAUAAGCUUGCUUCUUUUCUCGAUGUCUCUUUUUUUCUUUAAUAUUAACUUCAUUUUUUAUUUUGACUUAUUUUUCAAUUUUCUUUUUAAUUUUACAUCCGUGGUUUACUGAUAUUCGUAUGACAUAUAUGUAUACACAUACGUCUAUAUAUAUAUACAUACAUAUAUGUAUAUAUAUUUUACAACGCACUGCUUAUGUUAUACGUAUUGAAGGCAAAUUAUGAGCUUAUUUAUUUAUACAUUUAUCUAUAUCCAUAUGAUUCUCAGAAAUAUAUAAAGAGUAUAUCAGUUUAUAGGCAAAUAUAUAAAUAAAUAUAAACAUGAACAUUAGACUUUAGUACAUACAAAGUACACAGUGCGGUGAAAUAUAUAUAUAUGUGUGUAUAUAUAUGCAUGUAUUUACGUAUAUAUCGAAUCAGUCUACCAUCUGAAAAGAAUAGAGAAAAUUUCAUUCAUAAAUUUCAUUCAAAAGAAAAGAGAAAAUAUAUAAACUAAUUUUUAACAGAAUGUAAUGAACUUACCAAGUACUAGCACAAAUAGUUUUAACUCGAUUAAUAAUUACGCCUUGCAGGACUAUCUGUAAGAAAACAAAUAGUACUUAAUAACGCAUUACGAUUGAUAGAUCGAAACACAGUUUUACAAGCCGAUAAUUAGAAAAGGAGACUCAAAUAUUAACAUUCCAAGGGAUAUUUAUAUUAUUCCAAACAAUUCACUAAGCUUUAGUUCAAAUAACGCAAAUUAUAAUAUUUCCUCUGGUUAAUAUUAUACAAUAAUAUACCCAAGACAAAUUACUAGAUAUAAUAUAUAGUGCAAGAAAAUGAUAAACUAUACAACUUUCUAUAGUAUAUUAUAAAACGGUAUAUCGUAGUAUUGAACACAAAAUUGUAUAAAAUAUAGUAUAAUGCGUUAAUAUCAAGUAGCAUAAAAUUCAAAUAGGAUUUCACUAACCGAUAGCGCGUUUUUUAUAAUCUUCCAGAUAAGUAACAUUAUCGCGAUGGACAGGAACUUACAUAUUAUUCUAAUUCGUCCCUCUCUUGAAACCUCCAGGAAGAUGCUUGUAGGAUGAUUCGAAACAGAAUAAAUAGUUUAUUCAACUUCCGCGGACAGCUCCUAACAUCUUUUAUAUUGACUCGAGCAUGCGCUGUUUCGUUUAAUCCCCUCUUUUUCAUAUUUUCACGAUCCCCAAUUAUCUCUUCACAAUGUUACCAACAGUUCUGGAUCGAUAUUAGCGUAAAAGGAAGAUUUCUGUUUGCUUUUAUCUCUGUUUUUUCUUCUUGAUUCUUUUUUCUCCAUUUGAUUCCCCAUGUGAUUCUCCAUACUCAUAUCUUUUCGAUCAUUUCACGAUGUAAAAAUCGAAUUGCGUUUAUCCACUUUCCGAUGAGGAAAAUUUUUUUGGCAUUUAAUUAUUCAUAUUUAUUUAUUUUGUGCGAAGAGAAUGUUGACAUUACAAGAAAGUAGAAUUCAGAAUAUUGUAUUUAAAAGGAAUAGUAAUCUCUGGGAAAAUCUCUUCCUACAAUAUUUAUAACUGAUGAUUUGUGCGAUGUAAAUCGGUUGACCGAAUAACGAUGGCUAGAAAGAAGUAUAAUAGAUCUUUACUAUGUUAGGGAAAUAUUAUGUAAAUGUUUAUUAUAUGUACGCUUAUCGAGAUAUUUAAUCAUCCGAGUAAAACAUUAGGAAAAUGCUGAAUAAAUUAGAAAUAUUAUGUUACUAGAUAUAUAAGUAUGUCGUUGCUAUACUGGGUUAUACGUAAUGAGAAAUAAACGAAUCGAUUAAGAUAACAUUUUCCGAGGAACUAAUUAGUUUGGAAUAUAUGAUAUAUUAGAUAAUUGGCAGUAUAAGUGGAUCGUUCUUUGAAAUUUUCCUAUCGGGAAUUAAUUUUUCGGAAAAAGUAUUCCUUCGUAUGAAAGAACUAAAUUAGUUGUGGUACAUCGAUCUGCUAAUUAAUUAAUGCAGCUAAAUAGCUAAUUGAAAUAUACUGCUAAUCGUAUUAUCGCAUUGCCUGCUUAGUUUAAUGACAGGAGAACGAACGACAAAAUAUCUUUCUUCUUUUGAAAAAAUACCUUUCGUCAAAAUAAGCGAGGAGAUAUACGCACGCACACCCACAGAACCGCGGACAUAUUCCCGCUUACAUGCCCUAGCGCGGAUGAGAGAAUAUAAGAGCGUAAGUGUGUGGAGAAAGAUAAUAACAAAUUGUUUAACACGAACGUACACGACGAUACGUAUGGAAGAACGUAACGUAUGCAUGCAUUUUCAUUAAAUCUCAAUCGUAAGAUAUUUGCGCUACGUAAUAAUUUAGUUCGUCCAAAUACCUAUAUUUCUGAAAAACGUACAUUAUACAUUAUUUUUAAGUACAUGACGUGAAUAUUCUGACAAAUAAUUUGGAACAUUGAACCAAACACUUCUUCUCUUUUUAAUUAUAUUGAAUAAUAAUAUAAACUGACGGUAUAACGAUGACACGGUGAGAUAAACGUACACUACAUAUUAACGCAUAAUUUAAAAGCGUGUCCAGGCUAACGUUAUUAUCCCGAAGAACAAUGAAUACUUUGAUCGUAUAUGCAGCUUUGAUCAUUUUCAAUGAUAAAGCUGCCUGAGUACCAUUUCAGUUCCAUUUGAAUCCAGAUUCCCUUUGCAACGACAAACAACCCUACGAUGAAUCUUUCCCAUAACACUCCAUUAUAUCCUCUAUCUAAAGCCACUUACUUUGAAUCCUUUCAAUAACGUAUAUUCCGUAUCCUCGUACCACCAUAUGAAUGAAGCUUUGUAAUACAGCACUAUUUUAAUUGAGGAUUACCUUGAGGCAAUACCAUGAGGAUCGUCGUGAACACCAUUAUAAAUGUUUGUCCUCUUCCUCCUCUUCGUCCUCUUCUUCCUUGUUAAUUGCAACCACGUAAUGAAGACGCUAUGGAACAUAAUUAUGCGGAUCACGUUUGAAAAGGAAAUGCCUUCCUUUCGAACCCAGCACGUUGAUUAUUACUACAGCUUAGAAAUACCAAAUAUGUUUUGGAAACCGUCGGUAAUUGUACAUAGUAAAAUACCGCCGAUCGAUAUUAUAUAAUUCAGUGUCCGCACAUAAGAUAUAUGGAUAUGUAUUUUUCUUUUCUUCCUUUUUUUAAAUUCGAGCUAUAAUAUAAAGCGGCAUGUCAUUGCCUAAAAACUGUAACAAGGAACUAAAAAUAUUAAAUAACAACCUUUUUAGAUGAUAACACUGGUGAACAACUUCGAAAGUCAAUUGCUUGACAUUCCAUAAUAGAUGAUGAAUAUGUUUUUGACGUAGGAUUCUUUGAAAAUAUUCUCUUAUAAAUGUAUUUGUUCCUGUAAAGUACUAUGUAUAAGGAUCAUAAUAAGAAAACAGAUACUCCUCAUUGUGGUCACUUCACACAUCAUAUUAUUUUUAUCAUGACCAAAAAAGAUAUUGUUUACAUGAACAACAUCUUUGGCUGAUUUUGUCACUUAGUAAUUAAAAAUAUGUAUAUUAACGCCCGCAAGAUAUUUUUAUUAUGAGGGAAUAUUAAUAAGAGAAUUAAUUUCGUUUCAUGGAAUGUGAAUAUUUGGUUGGGUGAGAUCAAUAAAAAUGAAGCAGAAGCAUUUGUAACAAUAUUCUGUUAUGGAAUAUGGAUAUGGUAGUAAAACAGAAAUCAUAAUAUGUCAAAUUAAAAGAGAUCGUUAGAGAAGUCUUAAUUAAUUUCAUCUUCUACCUUUUCGUCUGUGAAAGCAAUAAAGAUGCAUAGAGUGUAAAAACUCUGUCUGUUCGGCACCCUCUCGGAUGUUGACUAUCGGCUUACGUAAUAUAAUAUAUCGUGACCGUGAAACUAACUAAUAUAUUGUAAUGAUAUUUGAUUUAUAUGAAUUUGUAGGUAUUGAAGAGCAUAUUUCAUUACAAGAUAUUAUCCCUUAUAAUUUUCUACGAUAUCUGUGAUAAGCUUUGCAGGAUUUUCAUCCUUAUCAUCGUCUAUGAGAUUUUUCCUGUUUUCAUAUACGGUGGUAUCACUAUCACUGUUACCGUUUUUUUCUGGAUUUAUACUUGUCUUUUUGGAAUUGCUCUUCACUACUUAUAUCUUAUAUCAUGUAAUGUAGUCGUGUUUGUACACUUCAUUAUUGUCCUAAUAAAAAAAAAAAAAAUGAGUA